ensembl:lncRNA
ACAAAAUCUCCCCUUAACGGCAAGGAGCGCAUGCGCUUGGUCUUUUCCUCUUCUCGCCAUCCUAAGAUGGUCCUGCAGCUGCUCGCCUGUUGGUUGAGAAUCUGUCUCCCUUCCAAACAUUCCUCUUUCCUGCAUCUGUGCAACCCACUUCACAUAUUUUUGUUACACAUUUCCUAUCUUUUUCUAGGGUUUUAUCCAUAUGUCUCUUAUAAGUCUUAAAUAGGGCGAAACCCAGAGUGCCUUCUUUACACCUCUCCCAUAUCGUUAUGGUUUCCUCCAUUUUCAUCACAGGUUAUUUAUUUAUUCACACGUGGUUUUUGAACACAAGAGAAAGGACUCAAUGCCCAAUACUGUGAACCCAAUCAAGAACCUUCUACUUUAUUAGAGGAAUACAGCGCUCGAUUGUUGAGGCUUAUAACACCAGUUCACUCGUAUUGUUUUAUUUCUCUCGUAUUUAUACCACCAUCAUUUAACUAUGAUUUUCCCUUUUACCCUUUAAUACAUAUCCCCACAGAUGUGUAAUCCGGUCAAACACUUUUCACUGUCGGAUUCUCAGUCCUUUUUCAAGUCCUGAUACGCCCAGCUUCCAGGUUCGGUAAAACACCAGGAGUUACACCAACCACCCACACAUUUCCCAGUAUGAAAAACAACAAAUCUUUCCCUGUGUCCUUAUUUCUUCAUCUAAUAUUCUAACCUGCCAGUCCAAGAAUCACACGAGUAGGACUGCAGGACCAGAGGUUUCUACGUACCACUCGGAUUGCAACUUGGAUUUCUACAGACUAAGAUUAACAUAAAUCCCUGCUCUAUUCUAAACUGCCAGCCCACUGCAUGCAAACGUGGGACCCCAGUCACCAGAGGUAUCUACGUACCACACGGAUUGUAACUUGGAUUUCUACAGACUAAGAGUCGACCUCAGGGAACUCAAGUGAGCCCCGUCAUUCCUUUUUAAACUCUUCAUAUAUUUACCUAAGUCCCUAAACCUAAACCCCUACACUGUUCUAAACUGCCAGUCCACUGCAUGCAAACGUGGGACUGCAGUUACCAGAGGUAUCUACGUACCACACGGAUUGUAACUUGGAUUUCUACAGACUAAGAGUCGACCUCAGGGAACUCAAGUGAGCCCCGUCAUUCCUUUUUAAACUCUUCAUAUAUUUACCUAAGUCCCUAAACCUAAACCCCUACACUGUUCUAAACUGCCAGUCCACUGCAUGCAAACGUGGGACUGCAGUUACCAGAGGUAUCUACGUACCACACGGAUUGUAACUUGGAUUUCUACAGACUAAGGGUCGACCUCAGGGAACUCAAGUGAGCCCCGUCAUUCCUUUUUAAACUCUUCAUAUAUUUACCUAAGUCCCUAAACCUAAACCCCUACACUGUUCUAAACUGCCAGUCCACUGCAUGCAAACGUGGGACUGCAGUUACCAGAGGUAUCUACGUACCACACGGAUUGCAACUUGGAUUUCUACAAACUAAGAGUCGACCUCAGGGAACUCAAGUGAGCCCCGUCAUUCCUUUUUAAACUCUUCAUGUAUUUACCUAAGUCCCUAAACCUAAAUCCCUACACUAUUCUAAACUGCCAGUCCACUGCAUGCAAACGUGGGACUGCAGUUACCAGAGGUAUCUACGUACCACACGGAUUGCAACUUGGAUUUCUACCGACUAAGAUUAUAUAUAUUUUUACCUAAAUCCCUAAACCUAUGGACACUUAUUCACUUUCCCUAACGUUGAAUUCAGUGUGAGUAUGUGCUUAUACUUUACAUGUGAUCAACAGGAAAUUUUCAAAUUUAGUUUUAAAUUUAAUGGUCUUAUAACGACCUUAUUCAGUCAAUGGACAGAGACGAAUUUUGCAGUUGACAACAAAUCUUUUUAGAAGUAUCCAAUCACAGACAUUUUAUUCAUUUAGAACAAAAGGUUGUCUGCUCACCUGAUUCUGUUUGCGCGCCUGUUGUCAAUGCUGAACCACGCCGCCGGCCCUUUUGGCUCGGUCCGGAAAACGGACGUCCCCGUCUUUCUUUGUCCAGGUCAGCAAAUCACGUCGGGGUCACCAAAUUGUAAGAAUACGUGUUCAAGAUUUGGAGCCUGGUCGGGGUUAUCAAAAAUUCAGCCGAAUGACUUCUCUCGUUCUGGGAAAUUUAUUUGUCAGAUCACAGGUCAAGUAUCAGCGCUGCGUUUGCAAAGGCAGGAGCAGUUCAGGCAGCACACAGGCCGGAAGAACAACUAACUAACAUCAGCAAGAACAUCAUGUUUUAUAACCCUUGAAAGACAGAGAAGGAAAUAUUUCUAUUGGCCCUAAACUGGCGUAGAGGAGGACCUUCCACCUCCCGCAUCUAAGAUCCGGUCACAUCCAAUGUCCAGACUCCUGACUUAACGUAAACAUCGUAAACAGAGUGUGUAUGUUGAAUAGUGUUGGUGUGUCUCUAACCCCCCUUUGACUGGUAAAUCUUCUAGUUGACCCGCAGACCUUACAUUCCUCAGCCAGGACAUAAACUGACUCCCCAUCCUGUCAGACUCGUGUCUGCCUGCUUGGCAGAUCCUGCUUACCCCUUACCUAACUCUUAAAUCAAGACAAGACAGCAAAACCCCCAACUAAGCCCAUGAAAAUAACUUUUGAUUAUCAAUACACACACUUCAUAUUUAUAAUAUCAUAUAAAAAAUAUAGGACUUAUGUAACAAAGUAUCAUACUUUAUAGUUCUAAUUCCAUAUAACAUUAACAUAAUUUAAGCAAACAUGGAAUCAUAAUUAGUAUUUCUAAUAUCAUAGGAUAUAAUAUCAUGUUCAGUGUUUUCCCUACCCUCACAUCUCCCGGCGCGCCCCAACGCACACGCCUCCCUCCGGUACGUCCGCCCCCCCAUAGUUGUGAACCUGGGAGAAACACUAAUGUGACGCAAUAUAGUAGAACUAAUAUAGAACUAAUGUGAAUGAUUCAAAAUCUAUAAUUAUAUAUAUAAUUAUACAUUUUAAAUAAUUUACAUUUGCCUGAGCAUCUCUCUUUCCCAUUUAAAACUGUCUGAUAUUUAUUGUAUAUGUUAGUAAAACAACAGGUCCUUGCUCUGACUACUUUGGUAGUUAGGCCCAAAACAGCCUCUUCCAUAAUAGCUGUUUACCAGAAAAUUCCAAGGGGAAACAUAAACCACCGAUAAUUUUUCUAAUAUAUUUAAUUCUCGCUCACUACAUGAGCGGGAUCAAUCCCAUUAGCUGGGGGGGAGCCUUUUACUUCUUGGUGAUUCCGCAUUAA